rnacentral:miRNA from 4 species
GACUUGGUCCAAGCUCCUCAGU